rnacentral:lncRNA from 1 species
GGACGGCCUUCCGUAGGCCCUCGCUGUUCCCGGUGCUCCAAAAGCAGGUGUGUCACUUCUCUUAAAAGUGGCUGCAGUCAAAGCCUCGAAAGCAGAAGCAGGAAGACCCCUUUGAAUGUCGUGCUUUCUAACGUUGUGCGUUUAACUGAAACGACUGUUCACCGAAGCCCACGGAUUUCUGGUCUGGAGAGAGGAGACCUCGCCGGCGGGUCCGGUCUCUGUGCGAAUCCCUGGUGGAUGGGGAACUUGAGGAUUAAUAGAGACACGCUGAAAGGUACCAGAGCCCUGCUUCCGUGUGUGUGCGUGUGCAUGCGUGCGGUAGCUAGAUCCCAGGGUUCGUGGAGACUGCGUGGACAUGGAGGUAUCGAUCGUGGAGGCUUUGCUGUGGUCCACAUAGGCACAGCUGGCAGGCACGGCACAUGCUU